rnacentral:rRNA from 1 species
UACGUAGGGGGCAAGCGUUAUUCGGAAUUAUUGGGCGUAAAGGGCGCGUAGGCGGCCUGGCAAGUGGAUGGUGAAAUCCCUCGGCUUAACCGAGGAACUGCCAUCCAGACUGCUUGGCUUGAGACCGGGAGAGGUGAGUGGAAUUCCCAGUGUAGCGGUGAAAUGCGUAGAUAUUGGGAGGAACACCAGUGGCGAAGGCGGCUCACUGGACCGGUACUGACGCUGAGGCGCGAAAGCGUGGGGAGCAAACGGG